GAUGAACGCUAGCGGCAGGCCUAAUACAUGCAAGUCGAGGGGUAGAAGAGGCUUGCUUCUUUGAGACCGGCGCACGAGUGCGUAACGCGUAUGCAACCUACCUUCAUCUGGGGGAUAGCCCGGAGAAAUCCGGAUUAACACCGCAUAAAACCACAGGACGGCAUUGUCCAAUGGUCAAACAUUCAUGGGAUGGAGAUGGGCAUGCGUGCCAUUAGCUGGUUGGCGGGGUAACGGCCCACCAAGGCGACGAUGGCUAGGGGAUCUGAGAGGAUGGCCCCCCACACUGGUACUGAGACACGGACCAGACUCCUACGGGAGGCAGCAGUAAGGAAUAUUGGUCAAUGGAGGCAACUCUGAACCAGCCAUGCCGCGUGCAGGAAGACGGCCCUCCGGGUUGUAAACUGCUUUUAUCCGGGAAUAAACCUGCUUACGUGUAAGCAGCUGAAUGUACCGGAGGAAUAAGGAUCGGCUAACUCCGUGCCAGCCGCCGCGGUAAUAC
rnacentral:rRNA from 1 species